GCCAGAGUGGCGGAAUCGGCAUACGCGAAGGUCUCAAAAACCUUUGCUCCUUGCGGGCGUGUGGGUUCGAGUCCCACCUCUGGCA
rnacentral:tRNA from 1 species